CCUACGGGUGGCUGCAGUGAGGAAUAUUGGUCAAUGGCCGCAAGCCUGAACCAGCCAAGUCGCGUGAAGGAUGACUGCCCUAUGGGUUGUAAACUUCUUUUAUAUGGGAAUAAAGUGCAGUAUGUAUACUUCUUUGCAUGUACCUUAUGAAUAAGGAUCGGCUAACUCCGUGCCAGCAGCCGCGGUAAUACGGAGGGUCCGAGCGUUAUCCGGAUUUAUUGGGUUUAAAGGGAGCGUAGGCGGGUUUUUAAGUCAGUUGUGAAAGUUUGCGGCUCAACCCUAAAAUUGCAGUUGAUACUGGAAGCCUUGAGUAUAGUAGAGGUAGGCGGAAUGCGGGGUGUAGCGGUGAAAUGCUUAGAUAUCACGAAGAACUCCGAUUGCGAAGGCAGCCUGCUGGACUGUAACUGACGCUGAUGCACGAAAGUGUGGGUAUCAAACAGGAUUAGAUACCCCGGUAGUC
rnacentral:rRNA from 1 species